AUGGAGCCCGAGCCCGACCGCGGCGUCUCCCUCCUCUCCCCCGCCCCAAACCCUAGCCACAAACCCUGCCUCCGGGCGGCCAAGUCCAUGGCCUUCAAGCGCGAGGAGCGCCGCAAGCACAAGGAGCAGAAGCGGGAGCGCAAGCGACAGGAGAACCUCGCCCUCGCGCUCGCACAGUGGGAGCCCCUCGGCGCCCCACCCCGCCCGGCCGCCACCUCCACUCCCGGCGAGCCACCCGAUGACAAGCCCUGGCCGUGUGACCCGCCAUCUCCCGCGGACGCCGCGCCCUCCGCCGCCUGGGGCUGGGGCCCUCCGGCGGAACCGCCGGCGCAGCCGCCGGUCGCGGCAAGGUGCCCCCAGGCCGACGCGGUGAGGGCGUGCCGCGCGUUGUUUGAAGAGCACGCCGAUGACGACGACGACGGCGAGGAGGGGGAGGAAGAGGAAGGCGAUGUGGCCCGGUUCUUCGACGAGCUUCUGGAGAAAGACGCGGGCCUGAGGGGGUUCUACGAGGCGGAGCGGGAGACGGGGCGGUUCCUGUGCCUGGUGUGCGAGGGGGUCGGCGCCAGGGCGGGGAAGCGGUUCCCCGGCUGCGCCGCGCUGGUGCAGCACGCCGGCUCGGUCGCCCGCACCAAGAGGAGGCUCGCGCACCGCGCCUUCGCCGACGCCCUCGGCCGCCUGCUCGGCUGGGGCGCCGGUCGGACCACCCCUGUUCCGGCCGAUUGCGACAACGAUGGCGCUACUGAUCAAGCUGAGCACUUGGAUGCUUCUGAAUGUGCAGAAAUGGAGGUGGCCUAA
rnacentral:rRNA from 1 species